rnacentral:lncRNA from 1 species
GCUGCUGGAGUCCGUCCGUUGUAGAAGUUUGUCUGGAAUCCAACCGCUGUAGAAGUUCGGAUGGAGUCCGAUUCUUGUAGGAGCUUGGAUGAAAUUCGAAAAGCGGUCGACCACCGCAGAAAUUUGGAUGGGGUCGGACUACUGUAGAAGUCCUGCUGCUGGAGAAGCUCGGACAUUGACGAAGUCCGAAAGAAGCUCGGA